GGUUGAGUUUAUGAGUGUGUGUCUUUAGUAUAUGGCUAAAGACGGUAACAUAAAUGGCUCUGGCAGUGAAAAUUGUGCAACGUGAACUAGAGACAAGUGUUUUGCUGCUGGGAAGUUUUUACUUAAAAGGAGCUUGCAGUUGUGUGUAAGUGUGUUUAUUUCAUUGUUUUACUUUGUUAUAGAGUAGUAUUCAUUGCUAGACUUGUGCUGUUUGUUUACUGGCUUGAACUCGCAUCGCUUAAACGUGUGUUGGUGUGUGUGUGUGUGCUAUAUUGUUUUGACUUGUCCCAGGGUACUCACUGCUAGAUUUAGAGUUGUUUGUCCAGUGUGUGUAAAACCAUCAUUGUUUUUAGUGUCCAUAAACAGUGCUUCACUUGUUUUGAGUAUUAUUUAUUGUUAAAGUGAAGCAUAAUUUAUUUGCGGUGUACUGAAGUCGCGUUUGUUCUCGCGCUGUUCACCUGUAGUUUCGGUUGCCAAAGUGACUAGCUUUGUGCUAAGUAGCAUUAAAGCGUGUCCUGCUUUUUUCACUGUACGGCUCAUUAGCAUUGUGUAUAUAUGUGACGUGAAUACUGACGCGAAAGCGGCAGCGAAAGUGGUAGCCCUUGUGUGAAGACCUACUUGUGUAAAGACCAGCGAGUCUACCUGUGUGAGUCCACCGAGCAAGGACACCGACAAGGCGCCACUCACCAUAGCACUUAAGUAUCUUUUACUUUAAUCUAUUUUAUUUUCCUUGUACAUACUAACAUGUCUACUUCAAGAAUAACAUAUGCUUUUAAGCACAUCCCUGUUAUCUGUUACAGACCGUUUACACAAUAUAGACGCAAGACAAACCGCAACCCACAUAACCUACGGCUACUUUGCACUUUGGCACCUGCUCCGCUGUCUUUCUCAGUGGGACUUUGGAACUGCCAGUCAGCUGUGAACAAAGAUGACUUCAUUCCAGCUUUUGCCACACAGUCCACCCUCAGCAUCCUGGCACUGACAGAAACAUGGAUAUGUCCAGAGGAUACAGCAACACCUGCUGCUCUCCAAAAACAAAUUCUUCUUCUCUCACACCCCUCGACACACCGGUAGGGGUGGGGGAAUCGGUUUGAUCAUUCAUAACAACUGGACUUUUUCACCACACUCUUCUCUAUGUAACAAUACAACUUUCCAUUUUAUUACAAACUGGAAUAAAAAAUUGGACUAGUCUUCCUCAAA